rnacentral:rRNA from 1 species
GACGAACGCUGGCGGCGUGCUUAACACAUGCAAGUCGAACGGAAAGGCCCUGCUUUUGUGGGGUGCUCGAGUGGCGAACGGGUGAGUAACACGUGAGUAACCUGCCCUUGACUUUGGGAUAACUUCAGGAAACUGGGGCUAAUACCGGAUAGGAGCUCCUGCUGCAUGGUGGGGGUUGGAAAGUUUCGGCGGUUGGGGAUGGACUCGCGGCUUAUCAGCUUGUUGGUGGGGUAGUGGCUUACCAAGGCUUUGACGGGUAGCCGGCCUGAGAGGGUGACCGGCAACAUGGGACUGAGAUUACGCCCCAGACUCCUAGGGGGGGCGACGGUGGGGAUAUUGGCACAUGGGCGGAAGCCUGAUGCAGCAACGCCGCGUGCGGGAUGACGGCCUUCGGGUUGUAAACCGCUUUCGCCUGUGACGAAGCGUGAGUGACGGUAAUGGGUAAAGAAGCACCGGCUAACUACGUG